ACGGACCAUUCAUCCAGCCACCCACUGCUCCAGCCUGCCCCAGCUGUUCCCUCUGUCUGUCCUGUUUUGCAGAUGGGGAAACUGAGGCUUAGGUCGGGGAUCUAGACAAUUGGGAUUUAAACCCAGGGGCUGUCCAGCCCCAAAGCCUUUCCCACCACACCAGGUGGCCUGUCAUGGGGCCAGCUCUGCACACACGGCCUGGCGCCGCCGGGGUGCUUGGGAAGUGGCAGGGCAGAGGUGGGCCCUGUGGCUGUUCUGGGUCAGCUUCUAAAACAAGGGCCUCUGCUGGGGGCAGGGGGGCCGUGAACCCCUGAAAUGCUAGGCAGAUACCCUGUGGGAACUUUGUUCUGGGAUGCUAAGAACCGCUUGAGGAUUUAAGCUUUGCCACUCUGGCUCCAGAGCAAGGGCAGAGGGCUGAGCGGUGCAGACGGGCCUGGGGCAGGCAUGGCGGAUUCCAGCGAAGGCCCCCGCGCGGGGCCCGGGGAGGUGGCUGAGCUCCCCGGGGAUGAGAGUGGCACCCCAGGCGGGGAGGCUUUUCCU
rnacentral:sRNA from 1 species